UGAGAAAUGGUGUCCAGAUACUA
rnacentral:siRNA from 1 species